AAUGAACGCUGGCGGCGUGGAUAAGACAUGCAAGUCGAACGGGACUUUGAAAUAGCUUGCUAAUUCAAAGUUUAGUGGCGGACGGGUUAGUAACGCGUGAGCAACUUGCCUCAAAGAGGGGGAUAGCCUGCCGAAAGGUGGAUUAAUACCGCAUGUGAUCGAAAGAUUAAAGGUGCCUUUUAGGUGCCGCUUUGAGAUAGGCUCGCGUCCUAUCAGCUAGAUGGUGAGGUAAUGGCUCACCAUGGCGAUGACGGGUAGCUGUUCUGAGAGGAAGAUCAGCAACACUGGAACUGAGACACGGUCCAGACACCUACGGGUGGCAGCAGUCGAGAAUCAUUCACAAUGGACGAAAGUCUGAUGGUGCAACGCCGCGUGGAGGAUGAAGGCCCUAGGGUCGUAAACUCCUGUCAUAUAAGAGUAAGGCAUAUUGGUUAAGAGCUAGUAUGCUUGAUAGUAUUAUAAGAGGAAGGGACGGCUAACUUCGUGCCAGCAGCCGCCGUAACAC
rnacentral:rRNA from 1 species